AUUGAACGCUGGCGGAAUGCUUUACACAUGCAAGUCGAACGGCAGCACGGGGCAACCUGGUGGCGAGUGGCGAACGGGUGAGUAAUACAUCGGAACGUGCCCAAUCGUGGGGGAUAACGUAGCGAAAGUUACGCUAAUACCGCAUACGAUCUACGGAUGAAAGCGGGGGAUCGCAAGACCUCGCGCGAAUGGAGCGGCCGAUGUCAGAUUAGGUAGUUGGUGGGGUAAAGGCUCACCAAGCCGACGAUCUGUAGCUGGUCUGAGAGGACGACCAGCCACACUGGGACUGAGACACGGCCCAGACUCCUACGGGAGGCAGCAGUGGGAAUUUUGGACAAUGGGCGCAAGCCUGAUCCAGCCAUUCCGCGU
rnacentral:rRNA from 1 species